rnacentral:rRNA from 1 species
UAACGCGAAGAACCUUACCCAGGCUUGACAUGCAGCUGCAAGUCCCGUGAAAGCGGGAUGCCUUCGAGGGUGCUGCACAGGUGCUGCAUGGCUGUCGUCAGUUCGUGCCGUGAGGUGUUUGGUUAAGUCCACCAACGAACGCAACCCCUGCGUCCAGUUGCCAUCGGUUCGGCCGGGCACUCUGGAGGGACUGCUCGUUCACACGAGAGGAAGGUGGGGAUGACGUCAAGUCAGUAUGGCCCUUACGCCUGGGGCCGCACACGUGCUACAAUGGCCGGUACAGAGGGACGCGAGACCGCGAGGUGGAGCAAACCCCAGAGAGCCGGCCCCAGUUCGGAUUGGAGUCUGCAACCCGACUCCAUGAAGUUGGAUUCGCUAGUAACGGCGCAUCAGCAGUUGGUGCCGUGAAUACGUUCCCGGGUCUUGUACACACCGA